rnacentral:rRNA from 1 species
GACGAACGUUGGCGGCGUGCUUAAUACAUGCCAGUCAACUGAAGCAGUGGUAGCAAUAUCGCUGUGGAGGUGGCGCACGGGUGAGUAACACGUAGGUAAUCUGCCUUCAGGUCUGGCAUAACUCCGGGAAACCGGGGCUAAUAGCAGAUGAUGCAGCGGCUCGACAUCGAGACAGUUGUUAAAGCUAUGGCGCCUGAAGAUGAGCCUGCGUCUGAUUAGCUAGUUGGCGGGGUAACGGCCCACCAAGGCAACGAUCAGUAGCUGGUCUGAGAGGAUGAUCAGCCACACUGGAACUGAGACACGGUCCAGACUCCUACGGGAGGCAGCAGUAAGGAAUAUUGCGCAAUGGGAGAAAUCCUGAAGCAGCAACGCCGCGUGAGGGACGAAGGGCUUUGGCUUGUAAACCUCUGUAGUGAGAGAAAAAAAUCCCAAUCUUUGGGACAUGAUGGUAUCUCAAAAGUAAGCCCCGGCUAACUACGUG